GUGAAUCAUCAAAUCUUUGAACGCAAAUUGCACUUUCUGGUAUUCCGGUAAGUAUGCCUGUUUGAGGGUCAGUUAAAUAAAAAUCGGUGUGGUUGCUGCUUUUCGUGUCGACGUUUCGGAAUUGAGUUGUUUUACCUUCGGUUAAGUGACUUAAAAUUUUGCAUUAUUUUCGAACGUAUUUAAAUUUCUUACGUACGUUUGAGAUAUCGAAUACUUUAUUAGGUUCGGUCAUUCUCACGAUUCGUAGCUAUAAUUUUUCAUUAAAUGACAUCAAAUCAGGAACGAAUACCCGCUGAACUUA
rnacentral:misc_RNA from 1 species